UCCCUGGUAGUCCAGUAGUUAGGACUUGCACUUUCAUUGCCAAAGGUGCAGGUUCAAUCCCUGGUCGGGGAA
rfam:TPA: Bos taurus chromosome 20, whole genome shotgun sequence.